AGGACACACAAAGGGAACAUAGCC
rnacentral:siRNA from 1 species